CCGGAUCAGAAUGAUCUAGGAGGCACGAGAGAGAGAGAGAGAGCGAAUCAGCGAGAGCUGGGAGCUCUCCGACCCGGAAACGCGUCGCCGAACCGAGGGAGAACCCGACCAGAACGCCUUCCUCCGGCCACUACACAGCGGCAGACCACCAGAAAUAGAUUUGUCUCGUCGUCGCCGUCAUGCCUGUGGUCUUCGAUCGCCCAUACACCGAACAAUGAGGGAGAAUCGACGAUGAGAAGCAGCGCCUGCUCUAGCGGUUCUGUGGUGCUUUCCGGCGACUCCGGACACC
rnacentral:lncRNA from 1 species